GGCGUCAAAAAAUGUCAUAGUAUAGUAAGGUAUGAAAACCUGUCAAAAAUGUCACAGUAUAGUAAGGCAUGAAAAACGGUCCAAAAAUGUCAUAGUAGAGUAAGGCGUCAAAAAUUGACAAAAAAUGCCAUAGUAUAAUAAGGCGUCAAAAAAUGUCAUAGUAUAGUAAGUUGUCAAAAAUGUCAAAAAUGUCAUAGUAUAGUGAGACAUGAAAAACGGUCAAAAAAUGUCAGUGUACUAAGGCGUCAAAAACGGUCCAAAAAUGUCAUAGUAUAGUAAGGCAUGAAAAAUGGUCAAAAAAUGUCACAGUAUAGUAAGUUGUCAAAAAUGUCAAAAAUGUCAUAGUAUAGUAAGGCAUGAAAAACGGUCCAAAAAUGUCAUAGUAGAGUAAGGCGUCAAAAAAUGUCAUAGUAUAGUAAGGUAUGAAAAACGGUCCAAAAAUGUCAUAGUAGAGUAAGGCGUCAAAAAUUGACAAAAAAUGCCAUAGUAUAAUAAGGCGUCAAAAAAUGUCAUAGUAUAGUAAGUUGUCAAAAAUGUCAAAAAUGUCAUAGUAGAGUAAGGCGUCAAAAAAUGUCAUAGUAUAGUAAGGUAUGAAAACCUGUCAAAAAUGUCACAGUAUAGUAAGGCAUGAAAAACGGUCCAAAAAUGUCAGUGUACUAAGGCGUCAAAAACGGUCCAAAAAAUGUUAUAGCAUAGUAAGAAAUAAUACAGAAAUGGAGGACAAUUUUAAUGAUUUUAUUCCAGACAACAUUUAACAAAUCACAGCAAAGAUAAUGACAUUUGUGACAUUUAACCACAAGGGAACACUUGUUAGAGGUGGUUAGGGUUAAUGUUGUUAUGAGCACAUUUUCCAAAGAUGAACAUGUCUAGUAGGUGUCUUUGUCAUCAUUUAACUGCUUGUGAUACAAUUAUUAAUUAAGUAGUUGUAUCAUAAGCAGUUGAAUGUUCUCACAGGUGUUUAAUAAAGACUGAACAGGAAAUCAAGACUUUACAGCAGUUAGAUGGUUGAGGUCUUUUGUGUAGUCAACAGCUUUGUAACACUGUUUUCUUUCAUCCACUUCAGGUCCUCAGCUGCUGUUAUCUUCUCCUCCUGCAGAGACAAGAACACAUGUUAAUCACAGAGACGGAUCAAUAAAUGAUAAGCAUGAACCAUGUAAUAGAUACAGGAAAACAAAUUUAAAUUCCAAACCUAUGAGAGACUGUUUUUACCUUUCCUAAUAUUUCUUUUCAGAAAUUACUUGACUAAGGCUAAGUUAUUAAGUAAAAAUAAUUUUAGUAAAAUAACAUAUUUUUAAAUCUCUUUUAAUGACAAAAUACACAGAUAUUUUUUAUGCCUUACUAUACGAUUACAUUUUUACACCUUAUUGCACUAUGACAUUCUUUGACAGUUUUGAUGCUUUACUACACUCUGGCGUUUUUGACAUUUUUGACCAGACUGUAAUGUGGUGUUUUUGAUGCCUUACUAUAACGUGACAUUUUUACUUCUAUUUUGAAUUACUAUUACUUCUGCAUUGCUUCAGAUUACUUUUACUGUUAUCUCUAAUAAUAGAUUGCCUUUACAUUAUAUAUUACUUAUUACUUCUAAAUAACUUUUACUGUUGCAAACUACAUCUAGUAACAAAUUACUUUGACUAUUACAUCUUACUUCUGAUAUUGCUAAUUACCGCAAUUUCCAGACUAUAAGCCGCUACUAUUUUCACAUGCUUUGAACCUUGCGGCUUAAACAAUGAUGCAACUAAUUUAUAGAUUUUUACAGGCUAACAAGCUUCAUGCCGCCAAAACAUUUAGCCUCGUCACAUCAGACCAAUGAAACUGUUUGAAUUAGAUCAAACGCACUCACACUAAAUCCUAAAUUCCUCACAUCAGUCAUUUUGUGCUUAAUGCACAAACCUUCAUCUUGGAAAAUACACAAAGAAAUGUAUAUGAUGCAGCUUUUAAGAUAGAGGCAAUCGAUCUAGCUGUCGAAAAAGGAAAUAGAGCUGCUGGAUGUAAGCUUGGCAUCAAUGAAUCGAUGGUGAGACGUUUGAGAUGGCAGCCUGAAUGUGUAAAUACCUCGUUACAAUGGAGACACCUGCGGCUUAUAGACAAGUGCGGCCUAUAUAUGUACUUUUUUUCCUUUUUAAAUUUAGUGGGUGUGGCUUAUAUUCAGGUGCGUUCAAUAGUCUGUAAAUUACGGUAUUUAAACAUUACUUCUAUUAAUACAGAUUACUUCUCUUGUUGCACUUUUCUGAUAUACUGAAUACUGAACAUAAACAAUUUAAUGUCAGUGCUCUGUGUUGGACAGUUGAUGUAAAACUGUUUGUGAAUUACCUGGAGGCCUCAGUCCUGGUCUCAGAGAACUUCCUCAUUGUACAAAGACACUCUGCGAUUGUGGACAGUGUCUCCCUCAUCCUCAACAAUGUCUCUCCUUCAUGGACCAUGUCUCUGCAAUCGUGGACAACGUCUCAACGAUGUCAUGAACGAAGUGGUGAUACCUGGAGGAAAUCAAAGAGCAACAUACAAAGGAAAAUUAUCAAUACACAACUACCUAUUCCUCAUCAACAGUUUAACCAUGAAAAUAUAAAUAUUCAACGUUACAGCUGAACCACAACAUUUUCCAAAUAUUAGAGGGCUAUUUCAGAAAAUGAACAGUUAACUGUCAUCACCUUCUGAAGAACCAACAACAAAUAUUUGGGAAAAAGUAAAAUGAUUAUUUACUGUGUGUCUAUCAACUCAUCACUGAACCAAUCAUCUAUGUUACUGUGAACUGCACAACAAUAAUAAACACGUAUCAGUUAA